AGCCUGAACGCUGGCGGCGUGGCUAAGACAUGCAAGUCGUACGGGUGUAGCAAUACACCAGUGGCGGACGGGUGAGUAAUGUAUCGCUAACGUACCCCGAAGUCUGGGAUAGCUGCCCGAAAGGGCAGGUAAUACCAGAUGACAUAUCCGAAUCGCAUGAUUUGGAUCUCAAAGGGCAACCGCUUUGGGAGCGGGC
rnacentral:rRNA from 1 species